rnacentral:rRNA from 1 species
UCCCUUAGUAACUGCGAGUGAACAGGGAUUAGCCCAGCACCGAAGCCUGUGGCCGUUUGGUCAUUAGGCAAUGUGGUGUUUAGGUAUGCCCUUGGUGGCGCUGCUCUAUCUAAAGUCCAGCAAUGAGUAUGGCUGUUUAUUAUCCCGCAGAGGGUGAAAGGCCCGUAUAGAUAGAGUUGUUGUCGCCCUGGGUUUGCCUUGGAGUCGGGUUGUUUGAGAAUGCAGCCCAAAGCAGGUGGUAAACUCCAUCUAAGGGCUAAAUACUGGCACGAGUCCGAUAGCGAACAAGUACCGUGAGGGAAAGUUGAAAAGAACUUUGAAGAGAGAGUAAACAGUGCGUGAAACCGCUCAGAGGUAAACGGAUGGGGUUGAACUGGAAGCUCCGAGGAUUCAACUGACGAGUCAGGGUCGGCGCUCAGGGUUGCCUAUUUGAUCGCAAGUUCUCGUUCUCUCGGGAGCGGGGACGUGUGGAUGCUUAUCGUGUGUCACGCGCCCUGGGAUGACUGGCUCUGGUUGUUGGUGCACUUUCUCGGGGUAAUCACCACGACCGGCGCUGUUGCUUGUCUACUGUGGUCAAACUGGUCGGGUUUAAUCUUUGGUUAGGCUCGGUCGGGAUGGCAGGUUGCUCGUUUGUUCAGCAAUGGGCUUUCGAGUGUAUUGGCCGAUCACGGUGGAUGUAUGCGAUGUGUCGGAGAUUGCGGCCUGUGCCUUGGCGCACUCUGUGUCUUGCUGGCUUGGACGAGUCCGAUUGGUUGGUUCAUGUUGUAUUACAGGUCUGUCAGUGGCUCGUUCAUGUUCGGUGGGCGGUGUGUGUUUGGUACUAUAAUGGGGUCUAUAGUCUGUGGUGCUGCGGUAGACUACCCAUCCGACCCGUCUUGAAACACGGACCAAGGAGUAUAAUAUGCACGCGAGUCAUUGGGUCUUACGAAACCCACAGGCGUAAUGAAGGUAAAGGUUCGGCUUGUCCGAGCUAAGGUGAGAUCCCAGCGUAUCCUUUGCUUUUGAUGGCAUUCGAGCGUUGGGCGCAUCACCGGCCCUCCCUAUGGCGUAGCUGCGCGGCCACUAGUUGUGUGCACCGCCGGGGAGGAGCGAGAGCGUGCAUGUUGUGACCCGAAAGAUGGUGAACUAUGCUUGCAUAGGUUGAAGCCAGAGGAAACUCUGGUGGAGGACCGUAGCGAUUCUGACGUGCAAAUCGAUCGUCAAAUGUGAGUAUAGGGGCGAAAGACUAAUCGAACCAUCUAGUAGCUGGUUCCCUCCGAAGUUUCCCUCAGGAUAGCUGGUGCCCAACGAUCGAAAUACUUUUAUCCGGUAAAGCGAAUGAUUAGAGGUAUUGGGGAUAAAACAUCCUCAACCUAUUCUCAAACUAUAAAUGGGUGAGAGGCCUUGCUCGCUCAAUUGGAGUAGGGCGUUGAAUAUGGGUGCCAAGUGGGCCAUUUUUGGUAAGCAGAACUGGUGCUGUGGGAUGAACCAAACGCUCGGAUAAGGUGCCUAACGGGGCGCUCAUGAGAUACCACAAAAGGUGUUGGUUGGUAUAGACAGCAGGACGGUGGCCAUGGAAGUAGGAAACCGCUAAGGAG